GCGGGUAUGGCGGAAUUGGCAGACGCGCUAGAAUCAGGAUCUAGUGUCUUCGGACGUGGAGGUUCAAGUCCUCUUACCCGCA
rnacentral:tRNA from 1 species